rnacentral:rRNA from 1 species
CCGUGAGUACCGGUUGUGACGCUAGCCAUCCUUCGGGAGAGCGCGCGGUGCUUAACGGCGCUGCGCGCCAUCUCGAUCCUUUACUUUGAACAAAUUAGAGUGUUUAAAGCAGGCUAAUGCCUUGAAUACCUUAGCAUGGAAUAAUAAGAUAGGACUUUUGGCCUAUUUUGUUGGUCUUUAGGACAAGAGUAAUGAUUGAUAGGGACAGUUGGGGGUGCUAGUAUUGAAUGGCCAGAGGUGAAAUUCUUGGAUUCAUUCAAGACUAACUAAUGCGAAAGCAUUCACCAAGGAUGUCUUCUUUAAUCAAGAACGAAAGUUGGGGGAUCGAAGACGAUCAGAUACCGUCGUAGUCUCAACCAUAAACUAUACCGACUAGGGAUGAGUGGACGUUGUUUUUUACUGACUCCAUUCGCACCUUAUGAGAAAUCAAAGUCUUUGGGUUCCGGGGGGAGUAUGGUCGCAAGGCUGAAACUUAAAGGAAUUGACGGAAGGGC